GACGAACGCUGGCGGCAGGCCUAACACAUGCAAGUCGAGCGAGCGGCGGACGGGUGAGUAAUGUAUGGGGACUGCCCGAUAGAGGGGGAUAACUACUGGAAACGGUUGCUAAUACCGCAUACUAUCGGAUAACCCAUAUGGGAUUAGCUAGUAGGUGGGGUAAAGGCUCACCUAGGCGACGAUCUCUAUCUGGUCUGAGAGGAUGAUCAGCAACACUGGGAAUGAGACACGGCCCAGACUCGUACGGAGGCAGCAGUGGGGAAGAUUGCACAAUGGGCUCAAUCCUGAUGCAGCCAUGCCGCGUGUAUGAAGAAGGCCUUAGGUUUGCAAAGUACUUUCAGCGGGGAGGCUUUACCCGCAGAAGAAGCACCGGCUAAAUCCGUGCCAGCAGCCGCGGUAAUUC
rnacentral:rRNA from 1 species